ensembl:lncRNA
CAGAGAGCCGAGGAGAGCUACAGCGUACUAGGUCGACGAGCGAAGAAAAUGGCGAUUAUGCAGGACAAAUGCCUCCCCUCGUAGAUGCUGCGAAUGCGUUGAAAUUUCUUUAGCCUUACAGCCGGCUUUCAUUUCCACUCUGUUGCACUUUAUACUUUUUGAGAUUUCUGUCAUGGAAAGACGCAAGUCAAAUGAGAGGCCAUGUUGGAUUAGCUGCAAGCCAGUCGACAGCUGAGAGAUUUGGAUUUGGAAGCUGUGGCCACCAAAGAAACUGAAGAGUCAAAACAGGGAACUCACUCACAGUGGCUGGAAGAGAGACAAAGAGUGACGAGGAAGGAGCAUAAGACUACACAGAAGUGGACAACAGUGCCAGAUCAUAUCAAGUCCAGGCAGAGUCCCAACUCCCGACGACACACCCACCAUUCUGCACACACACUUAACACACAUUCAAGGUCGCACAAACACUCACACACACGCGCGCGUGCGCACACACUCAAAACAACAAUUCCUCAGCGAUGCCAAGAGGGCCUGCUCAGCUCGCUGCCUGCUCCGACAAGCGCCGCCCCCUCCUCUCCGACCCCUGAGGCCGACCCUCUUGAGCUGUGACCCUUCUGACCCAACCCCGUCGCCCUGGGAACGAGAGGUCCGUUCUCCUCCCAGCCGCCA